rnacentral:rRNA from 1 species
GUGAGGAAUAUUGGACAAUGGGCGCAAGCCUGAUCCAGCCAUGCCGCGUGCAGGAAGACGCAUCUAUGGUGUGUAAACUGCUUUUGUACGGGAAGAAACACUCCCUCGUGAGGGAGCUUGACGGUACCGUAAGAAUAAGGAUCGGCUAACUCCGUGCCAGCAGCCGCGGUAAUACGGAGGAUCCAAGCGUUAUCCGGAAUCAUUGGGUUUAAAGGGUCCGUAGGCGGUUUAAUAAGUCAGUGGUGAAAGCCCAUCGCUCAACGAUGGAACGGCCAUUGAUACUGUUAGACUUGAAUUACAAGGAAGUAACUAGAAUAUGUAGUGUAGCGGUGAAAUGCUUAGAUAUUACAUGGAAUACCAAUUGCGAAGGCAGGUUACUACUUGUGGAUUGACGCUGAUGGACGAAAGCGUGGGGAGCAAACAGGAUUAGAAACCCGGGUAGUCC